UGCAUCUGCAGGUUGUGAUGAGACAAUGUUGGAGCUGACUUGUGUCAGGCAUUAGAGUCCAUGGAGAAAAGCCCACAUAGGAGCAGGUUUUCUGGCAUAAUUCAUGACCUUUUCAAGGCACUCUAUUCCUGGAGAGCUGUACCCCAUUGAAAGGACCCAUGCUAGACAAGCGUGUUAAGAACUCUAUCCUGUGGAAGGGGCUCCAUGCUGGAACAGGGGAGCAGCAUGAGAAGGAGGACCAGAAAUUAAUGUGUCAUGAAUUGACCACAACUCCCUUUCCCUAUCGUCCUCUGUCACUUGAGGGGAAAAGACAGAAGUGAAGGUAGAAGUGAAGAUGAACGUGGGGAGAAGAAUGGGGUGUAUUUUUACAAAGCCCAACCAACUACAAGCUCCUCUAUUUAUCUGCCAACACGUUUGGAAGAGUUUCCAUGGUUUAAACAAUACUGAAGCCUUAUGCCCUACUUAAGAAAUUUCCUUUGAUUUAACUCCACACCACCUGCAG